rnacentral:rRNA from 1 species
CUUUGACCUCGGAUCAGGUAGGGAUACCCGCUGAACUUAAGCAUAUCAAUAAGCGGAGGACAAGAAACCAACCGGGAUUGCCCUAGUAACGGCGAGUGAAGCGGCAACAGCUCAAAUUUGAAAUCUGGCUCUUUUAGAGUCCGAGUUGUAAUUUGCAGAGGGCGCUUUGGCUUUGGCAGCGGUCCAAGUUCCUUGGAACAGGACGUCACAGAGGGUGAGAAUCCCGUACGUGGUCGCUGGCUAUUGCCGUGUAAAGCCCCUUCGACGAGUCGAGUUGUUUGGGAAUGCAGCUCUAAAUGGGAGGUACAUUUCUUCUAAAGCUAAAUAUUGGCCAGAGACCGAUAGCGCACAAGUAGAGUGAUCGAAAGAUGAAAAGCACUUUGGAAAGAGAGUCAAACAGCACGUGAAAUUGUUGAAAGGGAAGCGCUUGCAGCCAGACUUGCUUGCAGUUGCUCAUCCGGGCUUUUGCCCGGUGCACUCUUCUGCAGGCAGGCCAGCAUCAGUUUGGGCGGUAGGAUAAAGGUCUCUGUCACGUACCUCUCUUCGGGGAGGCCUUAUAGGGGAGGCGACAUACUACCAGCCUGGACUGAGGUCCGCGCAUCUGCUAGGAUGCUGGCGUAAUGGCUGUAA